GUUGAGAACGGGAGAGGUCUGAAAAAUGUUGACUCAUUUUUGCAUGUUGGAGGAAGAACAAAAGGGGUCUCAGCUUUGAAAUAAAAAGCAAGAGGGUUUGGGUUGGAGGCAGGGUCAAAAAAUAAAUAAAAGGAAUAUUUCUCCUCUAGCAGGGAGCCUGGCCACUCGGUAACUUAAAACAGGCUUACUUA
rfam:Sarcophilus harrisii ctg7180002454326, whole genome shotgun sequence.